CCAGUUCAUCCCAGUCCAUCCCAGUCCCCUCCCAGUCCAUCCCAGUUCCUCUCAUCCUGUCCCAAUUCCCUCCCAGUCCCUUCUGGUGCCACCUGAGGCACACUCCAGUGCCCCCCAGUCCCUCCCAGUGCCCCCCCAGUACCUCCCAGUCCUCCCCAGUGUUUCCCAGUGCCUCCCAGUCCCUCCCAGUUCCCACUUUGGUCUUCCUGGGCCAAGCUGUUAUAAUUAUUUGCCUCUACCUCACCUGGGUCGUGCCCCACAUCCCCCCCAGUCCAUCCCAGUCCAUCCCAGUGCUUCCCAGUCCCCUCCCAGUCCCUCCCAGUGCCCACUUCGGUCUUUCUGAGCCAAACUCUUAGAGUUACCUGCCUCUAUCUCACCUGGGUUGUGCCCCACAUCAUCCCCAGUGCCCUCCCAGUCCCUCCCAGUGGCCCCCAGUGCCCUCCCAGUGCCUCCCAGUCUCCUCCCAGUGCCUCCCAGUUCCCACCUCAGUCCUCCCAGGCCAAGCUCUUAGAGUUACCUGCCUCUAUCUCACCUGGGUUGUGCCCCACACCCUUCCCAGUGCCCUCCCAGUCCCUCCCAGUACCUCCCAGUGUCCCCCAGUGCCCUCCCAGUCCCUCCCAGUGCCCUCCCAAUCCCUCCCAGUGGCCUCCCAGUGCCCUCCCAAUCCCCUCCCAAUCCCUCCCAGUGGUCUCCAGUGCCCUCCCAGUCCUUCCCAGUACCUCCCAGUCCUUCCCAGUCCCUCCCAAUCCCCCCCAGUCCCUCCCAGCGGCCCCCAGUGCCCUCCCAUUCCCUUCCCGGUGCCCCCCAGUCCCUCCCAGUGCCCACCUUGGUCCUCCUGGGCCGCGUCGUUGUAGUUGACCUGCUUGCGGACGCGCUUGCCCUUGCCCAGGUUUCGUGCCAGGUCCUCCUGCUGCUGCUCGUAGUGGUGCCGCAGCAGCUUCUCCCAGUAGUCGGGGUCGACGUUCUCCUCCUGCUUGAUGAUCUCGCGCUCGAUCUCCUCGAUCUGUGGGCAUGGAAACGGGGGAGAGGGCGGGGGGGGUCAUGUGGGGCCAGGGCUCGCAGCGCUGCCUUCACAUCUCCAUCCCCACCCCCACUGUCCCAUCGUCCUCGUCGUCUUCGUUAUCUCCAUCCCCGCUGUCCCCAUCAUCAUCCUUGUCGUCUCUGUUAUCUUCAUCCCCACUGUCCUCAUCAUCAUCGUCGUUAUCUCCAUCCCCACCCCCGCUGUCCCCAUCACUGUCCUCAUCAUCUCCAUUAUCUCCAUCCCCACUGUCCCCUUCAUCGUCCUCAUCUCCGUUAUCUCCAUCCCCAAUGUCCCCAUCAUCAUCCUCACCGUCGUUAUCUCCAUCCCCACCCCCAAUGUCCACAUCAUCAUCCUCAUUGUCUUCGUUAUCUCCAUCCCCACUGUCCCCAUCAUCAUCCUCACCGUCGUUAUCUCCAUCCCCACCCCCAAUGUCCUCAUCAUCAUCCUCAUUGUCUUCGUUAUCUCCAUCCCCAUCACUGUCCCCAUCAUCGUCCUCAUCAUCAUUAUCUCCAUCCCCACCCCCAAUGUCCCCAUCAUCAUCCUCAUCGUCUUUGUUAUCUCCAUCCCUACUGUCUCCAUCAUCAUCCUCCAUCAUCAUCCUCAUUGUCUUCGUUAUCUCCAUCCCCACUGUCCCCAUCACCAUCCUCAUCUUUGUUAUCUCCAUCCCAGCUGUACCCAUCAUUGUCCUCAUCACCUCCGUUAUCUCCAUCCCCAUCACUGUUCCCAUCAUCAUCCUCACCGUCUCUGUUAUCUCCAUCCCCACUGUCCUCAUCAUCAUUGUCUCCGUUAUCUCCAUCCCCAUCACUGUCCCCAUCGCCAUCCUCAUCAUCUUCAUUAUCUCCAUCCCCACUGUCCCCAUCAUCAUCCUCACCGUCGUUAUCUCCAUCCCCACCCUCAAUGUCCUCUCAUCAACCUCAUUGUCUUCGUUAUCUCCAUCCCCACUGUCCCCAUCAUUGUCCUCAUCAUCUUCGUUAUCUCCAUCCCCAGUCCUCAUCGUCUCCGUUAUCUCCAUCUGCACUGUCCCCAUCACCAUCCUCAUCGUCUUCGUUAUCUCCAUCCCCAUCAUUGUCCCCAUCAUCAUCCUCGUCAUCUCCGUUAUCUCCAUCCCCGCUGUCCCCAUCAUCAUCCUCACUGUCUUCGUUAUCUCCAUCCCAGCCAUCCCCAUCAUCGUCCUCAUCAUCGUUAUCUCCAUCCCCACCCCCACUGUCCCCAUCAUCAUCCUCGUCAUCUUUGUUAUCUCCAUCCUCAUCACUGUCCUCAUCAUCGUCCUCAUCGUCUUCGUUAUCUCCAUGCCCAUCCCCACUGUCCCCAUCGUCCUCAUCACCUCCACCUCCACCACCCCCAUGGUCCCCAUCUUCAUCACCUCCAUCCCCAUCGUCCUCAUCAUCACCUCCAUUCUCAUCAACCUCCGUCAUCUCCAUCCCCUCCCCGUCAUCCUCAUCACCUCCACCCCCAUGGUCCCCAUCUCCAUCAUUUCCAUCCCCGUUGUCCUCAUCAUCUUCAUCACCUCCACCUCCACUGCCCUCACUGUCCUCAUCAUCUCCAUCCCCAUCAUCAUCUCCAUUCUCAUCAUCUCCAUCAUCUCCAUCCCCGUUGUCCCCAUCGUCAUCACCUCCACCUCCAUUGCCCCCACUUGUCCCCAUCUUCAUCAUCUCCAUCCCCACUGACCUCAUCAUCAUCUCCAUCCCUACUGCCCACAUCAUCUUUAUCUCAUCUCUAUCCCCCCUCCAUCAUCUCCAUCAUCUCCAUCCCCCUUGUCCCCAUCUCCAUCAUUUCCAGCCCCACUGUUUUCAUCAUCUCCAUCACCUCCAUCCCCCUCCCCAUCAUCCUCACCAUCUUCAUCUCCAUCCUCAUAAUCUCCAUCAUCUCCAUCCCCAUCGUUUUCAUCAACUUCAUCACCUCCAUCCCCCUCCCCAUCAUCUUAAUCACCUCCAACCCCACUGUCCUCAUCAUCAUCUUCAUCUCCAUCCCUAUUGUCCCCAUCUCCAUCAUUUCCCUCCCCAUCAGACUCAUCAUCCUCAUCAUCUCCAUCCCCGCCAUCCUCAUCUUCAUCAUCUCCAUCCCCAUCAUCCACAUCAUCCUCAUCUCAUCUCCACCCCACCAUCCUCAUCAUCUCCAUCCCCUUCAUCCUCAUCCUCAUCUCUAUCUCCAUCACCUCCACCUACGUUGUUCCCACCAACCCCACGUCCAUCGUCCCCAUCACCUCAUCCCCACAUCCACUGUCACCGUCAUCCCCACAUCCAUCAACCCCACCAUCCCCACGUCCAUUAUCCCCACCGUCCCCACGUCCAUCGUCCCCAUCACCUCAUCCCCACGUCCAUUGUCCCCAUCGUCCCUAUGUCCAUCAUCCCCAUUGUCCCCAC
ensembl:lncRNA